CUCUCUCUGAAACAAGCCACAGUUUUACAAUUUCCAAGUGUGCCUGAAGCCACGAGGCUGUGGAAAGGCUGCUGAGGAAUAAAAGCAGCUCUGGAAUCCAAGAAGAGGCGAACGGCAGUGAGCAGGUUAUCUUAUCUGGUCUGGAGCGCAAAGGUUUUCCUAAGAACCUCUGUUGAAUUUCUUGCAUGUAAACACCCGCGGAUGGAUUAUUGUUUUUCCAACCGAGGGAGGAUCUGUGUCUCGUGCUGAACCAUCCUGGGGCUCUUCAGUGUGAG